rnacentral:rRNA from 1 species
UACAAAGGGGGCUAGCGUUGUUCGGAUUUACUGGGCGUAAAGCGCACGUAGGCGGAUUGGUCAGUUUGAGGUGAAAUCCCGAAACUCAACUUCGGAACUGCCUUUAAUACUGCCAAUCUAGAGUCCAGAAAAAGUGAGUGGAACUCCUAGUGUAGAGGUGGAAUUCGUAGAUAUUAGGAAGAACACCAGUGGCGAAGGCGGCUCACUGGUCCGGUACUGACGCUGAGGUGCGAAAGCGUGAGAAGCAAACAGG